rnacentral:misc_RNA from 1 species
AUUUGGUCCCAUGAUGGAAUUUUUAUUUAGUGAAAUUGUUAUCAUACAUUAGUUUUAUUGUAUAAUUUUUCUCCAUGAUGUGCCAUUACUAACCGAAUGGACCCCUAAUUUUCCAAACUGUUUGAGCAUGAAGAUCCAAGAAAAUUUGUAUUUGUCAGAAAAUUUCUGAAUUAUUAUUGUUGAGAAGGUAUUAACUACCAAUAUUGCAAUUUGGUAUAGCAUAAACAAGCACUUCUUUUCUAGAGACAUAAAGCAAAACUUAUCCUCCACGUAAGCCAAAAUUAUUUACCAUCUGUGAGAAACUCGUGGAGAUGGUCACUUCUCUCUUGGCUUCUUCGAGUGCUUGCUCCACAAGAGCACAAGCAGAAAUAUGUGCACAGGCUGACUGUCCCAUAAGUUAAAUCCUACUCAAUAAGCAUGAGGAAAUCAAAAAGCAUAUAUAGUUUAAGAUAAAUGCAACACGGAAACACAUAGAAACUAUUUGAUUUCUUGUCAGGGUCACCUCCAUAUUUUGAGAUGUUAUUGCAGAUAAAUGAGAUCCCUUGAGAUGCAUCAUUUACCGUAUCACUUGCGGUUCUCUGGGGAAAAUUUCUGUGCUAACAUGUCAACCAAAAACAUGAAUGGUGGAGGGAUAGAACAAACAAGUAUGUAAAUGUUAAGACUGAAAAAAGUAAUAGUGCUAAGCUAACAGUUAACAUGGAUUCAUGGAAGAACAAGGAGAACCUAAGUUAGGCAUAGAAAAAAUAUGAGCAAAAGUAUUAUUUUGAAGUUUUAUUUUAGCGUGGGAACUCUAAACUUAGGAAUGAUUUCAGUGGCUCCAACCUAAACACCAUGAAUAUGUAGUGAGAUGUACUAUCUCCAUGUAAAAAUGCACUCAUAACCAAUGGUAUUGG